GCGACUGUAGUUUAAGGGUAGAAUAUAAGCUUCCCAAGCUUGGGGCCCGAGUUCGAGUCUCGGCAGUCGCA